rnacentral:misc_RNA from 1 species
GAUGAAGAACGCAGCGAAGUGCGAUAAGUAAUGUGAAUUGCAGAAUUUCGUGAAUCAUCGAAUCUUUGAACGCAUAAUGCACUUUCUGGUAUUCCGGAAAGUAUGCCUGUUUGAGGGUCAGUUUAAUAAAAAUCGGUGUUAUUGCUACCCGUAGUGGUAGUUAAUGCAUCGGAAUUGAGUUGUCUUUACCUUUUUUGGUUUAAGUGACUUAAAAAUUAUGUACGAUUUUUGAACGUAUUUAAAUUAUUUACGUAUGUUCAUUAUAUCAAAUAUUAGGUGCGGUCAUCCUUAUGAUUUCGCGUCUAUAAUUUUUCAUUAUUUGACCUCAAAUCAGGUAAGAGUACCCGCUGAACUUAAGCAUAUCAAUAAGCGGAGGA